CCUACGGGUGGCAGCAGUGAGGAAUAUUGGUCAAUGGGCGCGAGCCUGAACCAGCCAAGUCGCGUGAGGGAAGACGGUCCUAUGGAUUGUAAACCUCUUUUGUCGGGGAGCAAAAGCCGCCACGCGUGGCGUUCCGAGAGUACCCGAAGAAAAAGCAUCGGCUAACUCCGUGCCAGCAGCCGCGGUAAUACGGAGGAUGCGAGCGUUAUCCGGAUUUAUUGGGUUUAAAGGGUGCGCAGGCGGAAGAUGAAGUCAGCGGUAAAAGAGAGAGGCUCAACCUCUUCGAGCCGUUGAAACUGGCAGUCUUGAGUGGGUGAGAAGUAUGCGGAAUGCGUGGUGUAGCGGUGAAAUGCAUAGAUAUCGCGCAGAACUCCGAUUGCGAAGGCAGCAUACCGGCGCUCAACUGACGCUCAUGCACGAAAGUGUGGGUAUCGAACAGGAUUAGAUACCCGAGUAGUC
rnacentral:rRNA from 1 species